GUUCACUGCCAUGCAGGCAGCUUAGAAA
rnacentral:other from 1 species